AUUAUAAUAGUUUAAAAAACAUUAUAUUUUCAAUAUAAAGAUAAUCAAUAGAUUUUAUAAUA
rnacentral:tRNA from 1 species